AGAACGAACGCUGGCGGCAUGCCUAAUACAUGCAAGUCGAACGAAGGCUUCGGCCUUAGUGGCGCACGGGUGCGUAACGCGUGGGAAUCUGCCCCUUGGUUCGGAAUAACAGUUGGAAACGACUGCUAAUACCGGAUGAUGACGAAAGUCCAAAGAUUUAUCGCCAAGGGAUGGGCCCGCGUAGGAUUAGCUAGUUGGUGAGGUAAAGGCUCACCAAGGCGACGAUCCUUAGCUGGUCUGAGAGGAUGAUCAGCCACACUGGGACUGAGACACGGCCCAGACUCCUACGGGAGGCAGCAGUAGGGAAUAGUUGGACAACGGGCGAAAGCCUGAUCCAGCAAGUGCCGCGUGAGUGAUGAAGGCUUAGGUGUAAGCUCUUUACCGAGAUGAUAAUGACAGUAGUCGGAGAAGUAACGCCCGACUAACCGUCCGUGCCGAGCCAGCCGAC
rnacentral:rRNA from 1 species